GGGGAGAUCGGCUAGCUUGGCUAGGCUUCCAGGUUUGGGCCCUGGUGACCUGGGUUCAAAUCCCAGUCUCCCCA
rnacentral:tRNA from 1 species